UGGGGAAUCUUGCGCAAUGGGCGAAAGCCUGACGCAGCGACGCCGCGUGGGUGAUGAAGGCCUUCGGGUUGUAAAGCCCUGUGGAGGGGGACGAAUAAGGGUUGGCUAAUAUCCAGCCCGAUGACGGUACCCCUUUAGCAAGCACCGGCUAACUCUGUGCCAGCAGCCGCGGUAAGACAGAGGGUGCAAACGUUGUUCGGAAUUACUGGGCGUAAAGCGCGUGUAGGCGGCUUGGCAAGUCGGGUGUGAAAGCCCUGGGCUCAACCUAGGAAGUGCACUCGAAACUGCCUCGCUGGAGUGCCGGAGAGGAAAGCGGAAUUCUCGGUGUAGAGGUGAAAUUCGUAGAUAUCGAGAGGAACACCGGUGGCGAAGGCGGCUUUCUGGACGGUAACUGACGCUGAGACGCGAAAGCGUGGGGAGCAAACAGG
rnacentral:rRNA from 1 species